CAUUAAGUGACUGAAAUAUAAGUAAUGGUCUCUUAAACCAAUCAAUAGUAAAGUAAUGAAUACUCUUAAUGA
rnacentral:tRNA from 1 species